AGUGAACGCUGGCGGUAGGCCUAACACAUGCAAGUCGAACGGCAGCACAGUAAGAGCUUGCUCUUACGGGUGGCGAGUGGCGGACGGGUGAGGAAUACAUCGGAAUCUACUUUUUCGUGGGGGAUAACGUAGGGAAACUUACGCUAAUACCGCAUACGACCUACGGGUGAAAGCAGGGGAUCUUCGGACCUUGCGCGAUUGAAUGAGCCGAUGUCGGAUUAGCUAGUUGGCGGGGUAAAGGCCCACCAAGGCGGCGAUCCGUAGGUGGGCUGAGAGGAUGAUCAGGCCCAAUGGAAAUGAGAAAAGGUCCCGAACCCCAAGGGAGGGAGCAGGGGGGAAUAUUGGCAAAAGGGGCAAGACCCUGUCCAGCCCUGCCGCGGGUGUGAAAAAGGGCUUUGGGUUGUAAAGCCCUUUUUGUUGGGAAAAAAAGCAGGAAGGUUAAACCCCCCCGUCUUGACGGGACCCAAAGAAAAAGCCCCGGCCAACUUCGUU
rnacentral:rRNA from 1 species